CAGUAGCCGCGGUAAUACGGAGGGGGCUAGCGUUGUUCGGAAUUACUGGGCGUAAAGCGCACGUAGGCGGCUUUGUAAGUCAGAGGUGAAAGCCCGGGGCUCAACCCCGGAAUUGCCUUUGAGACUGCAUCGCUUGAAUCCAGGAGAGGUGAGUGGAAUUCCGAGUGUAGAGGUGAAAUUCGUAGAUAUUCGGAAGAACACCAGUGGCGAAGGCGACUGACUGGACAAGUAUUGACGCUGAGGUGCGAAAGCGUGGGGAGCAAACAGGAUUAGAUACCCGUGUAGUCCCUGUCUCUUAUAC
rnacentral:rRNA from 1 species